CUUCACCGAACCCAACAGCAACGGCCGAUCCCGGUCCUGCCCAUACGUCGCGAUCAACGCCUGCGCCUC
rfam:Actinoalloteichus sp. GBA129-24, complete genome.